ACUUUUUAUAAAUAUUUCAAUACGAAACUUGUACAUGCAUACAUAUGUAUCCGUAUGCUCCUAUGCAUGUAGAUUUGUAUAUAUGUAUGUAUAUUUAUUAAAUAUAUACCAGUACUAGUACAAGUAUGUAUGCAAAUGGCAUACCUGUUGUAGAGGGUUUACUACAUCGCUGUUGUCUAUUGACUAAAAACGUUGUCUGACAAGUAAUAAAGAUGUCGAUCAGUCACUAUAGGGUCAGUCACAAACUAACGCAGAGAGGAUACUCUUGUAAAUAUACUUAUUACCUAAUGAGUGAGAUGUGUGAUAUGAUAGAAUUAUCACUUCCAACCUGCACACAUUUCCGUCAAAAUUUUGUUUAAAUAUUUCGGGUCCCCACUUGUUGCUAGAGCUAGAUUAUAAAUUUCAAUAGAAUACCUCUGUUGGGCUUUUUCGGCUUAGCUAAAACCAAGUGCCCUAAAUUUUGUGAAAAACAUUUUAAUUUUCUUAUUUGUGUACAUAUGCAUGUAUGCAAGUAUUUAUUAAUAGUUUAAUUACAUAUGACUAUAGGAAUUAUUUUUAUGUUGUAUUUCUGUAUUGAAUAAUUUUAUAAACACGUUCUCUUACAAUCGUUCCAUUGGAAUUGGCUUGUAAUCUAGAAUAAAAAAAGGAAUUAUUAACGUCA